GAGUUUGAUCCUGGCUCAGAUUGAACGCUGGCGGCAUGCUUUACACAUGCAAGUCGAACGGUAACAGGCCGCAAGGUGCUGACGAGUGGCGAACGGGUGAGUAAUGCAUCGGAACGUGCCCAAUCGUGGGGGAUAACGCAGCGAAAGCUGUGCUAAUACCGCAUACGAUCUACGGAUGAAAGCGGGGGACUCAGCAAUGGGCCUCGCGCGAUUGGAGCGGCCGAUGUCAGAUUAGGUAGUUGGUGGGGUAAAGGCUCACCAAGCCAACGAUCUGUAGCUGGUCUGAGAGGACGACCAGCCACACUGGAACUGAGACACGGUCCAGACUCCUACGGGAGGCAGCAGUGGGGAAUUUUGGACAAUGGGCGCAAGCCUGAUCCAGCAAUGCCGCGUGCAGGAAGAAGGCCUUCGGGUUGUAAACUGCUUUUGUACGGAACGAAAAGGCUCUGGUUAAUACCUGGGGCUCAUGACGGUACCGUAAGAAUAAGCACCGGCUAACUACGUGCCAGCAGCCGCGGUAAUACGCAGGGUGCGAGCGUUAAUCGGAAUUACUGGGCGUAAAGCGUGCGCAGGCGGUUUUGUAAGACAGUCGUGAAAUCCCC
rnacentral:rRNA from 1 species